rnacentral:rRNA from 1 species
UGGGGAAUAUUGCGCAAUGGGCGAAAGCCUGACGCAGCGACGCCGCGUGAGGGAUGAAGGUUUUCGGAUCGUAAACCUCUGUCAGAAGGGAAGAAACCGCACUGUGCUAAUCAGCAGUGCCUUGACGGUACCUUCAAAGGAAGCACCGGCUAACUCCGUGCCAGCAGCCGCGGUAAUACGGAGGGUGCAAGCGUUAAUCGGAAUUACUGGGCGUAAAGCGCACGUAGGCUGCUUUGUAAGUCAGGGGUGAAAUCCCACGGCUCAACCGUGGAACUGCCUUUGAUACUGCUUAGCUUGAAUCCGGGAGAGGGUGGCGGAAUUCCAGGUGUAGGAGUGAAAUCCGUGGAUAUCUGGAGGAACAUCAGUGGCGAAGGCGGCCACCUGGACCGGUAUUGACGCUGAGGUGCGAAAGCGUGGGGAGCAAACAGG